GUCACACCCCAGCCAGACCAGGCCAGGCCAAAGCUCCUCAAAGGGGCUGUGUGCUCUGGGAAGAGUUCUGAAAGUCAGGUGGGCGUGGGGGGGGGCUGCAUGUGGCCCCCUGGCCUGAGGUUCCCCACUCCUGGGUUAGAUCACCCAGACAAAACUAGUUGGACUUAAGCCCCAAUUUGUUGUGAAAAGUUAGUCACGGCCAAUUUAUUCUUUCCCAUUGAUUUCUCCAGGACUCUGAACCAACCUGUGGCCUGUAACCUGGCUAUGAUGGGAAGUUGUGCAAGUCAUAGGAAAGCAGUUCUUAUGCCACCAGUUUAAAGCUGCGAGGGAAGGAUAAAACGUGGUUGUCUGGCUACUGCGGAAACAGGAGGCUGAUGUCCUUUGGAAAAUAGUUCACCAUUGCUUUUUUGCUGCUGCAACCCACCAAGCACUCCUCCUGCAAGGAACAGGAUACAGAGAGUAACACAAGAACAAAGCCCCUCGCCUCCCUUCCCUUCUCAGACUACAAAGUUCAAGCAAUUACAUCUCACCACAGCUGUCCAGCAGAGUUUGUCCAUUGUUACUCAGGUACAAAGUAAAACUACACCAAGUUUCAGUAAAGUCAUCAUCUUCUUGAUAUAAUGAACAACAAUAAUAACAACAAUUAAUUCUUUUUAGAAGAAGCAGUUACACUUAAAAGCUUUUGAAACCCUCCUUUUAAGGUAUGAUUAGAUAAAAUGCACUGCCUGUUGGAGUGAGCUAACUCUCCUUGCUCUCAGCUUAGUUUUGGCGUACCUGUCAGGGGUUCCUGUCCUUCAUAUGCAUCAUGUAAAUGAACUAGACCUGUCUCUUCCAUCUUUGGAAAUUUUGAGUUAUGCCCAGAUUAAUAAUAAAUGGGGAUAUUUUAAAUGAAUCAGAGGGGGCAUUGUGGGACAAAACAGUGCCCAUGGCAAUCCAUAGCAUAAAAGUCAUGUGCCCAAAGACCACUCUCCCAGUUCUACUCUCCAGACAUAUCCUGAACAGGUUGGGAGCACAGUGUCAGCAAUAGCUAUUGCACAGAGUCAGUCCAGAGAGACACCAUGCUUAAUGGCAUCAAAAGACACUGCGAUAUUGACCAGGAUUGCCCUCCCACUGCCUUCUCAUUAGGGUGACCAAGGCUGAUUUGGUCCUGAAGCCCAGAACUGAAAUGGAUUCAGAUAAUCAGCCUCAUCCCGGAAUGUCUGCAGUUGUUCUGACACAACUCUCUAAAUCCCCCUUCCCCAAAAGUGGGUACAGUCAUACCUCAGGUUACAGACGCUUUGGGUUGUGCGGUUUUGGGUUGCGCACCGCGCCAAACCUGGAAGUACCGGAACGGGUUACCAGAAUCGCGACCCGGCGCUUUGGGUUGUGGAUGCUGCAGGUUCGCAACCCGAGCAUCCACUGUAUUUGCAACCAGGUGAUAGCUGUUAUAAUCCAUUAGGCCCUGGACCAGCUUUUCCCAGGAGUGGCUGCACCACUGCCUCCUUUAGGGUUGCAGACGCCACCUUCUCAUGCUAUGAAAUGCUCACCACACCCUGCACCCACCCGGCCAACACUUCCCCAGGGGAGACACUUCACUGCCUGAGGCAAAAUGGGAAGGCAUCCCCCUCUACUUCUCCUCCGCUGAAGGCUUGCUUGCCUGGGUCACACAGCUAUGGCUUCCAGGUUCCAGUGAAAACUCACAGAAAGCAGGAGUGAGAAGUGGCGGCAAGGUGGUGCAUGAGUUCUGUGGGAUGUGAAACACAAGAGCAGUCAAGUACAACAUCCCUAGAGUGGACAUAAAAAGGGGAU